AUUGAACGCUGGCGGAAUGCUUUACACAUGCAAGUCGAACGGCAGCACGGGGCAACCUGGUGGCGAGUGGCGAACGGGUGAGUAAUACAUCGGAACGUGCCCAGUAGUGGGGGAUAGCCCGGCGAAAGCCGGAUUAAUACCGCAUACGACCUGAGGGUGAAAGCGGGGGAUCGCAAGACCUCGCGCUAUUGGAGCGGCCGAUGUCAGAUUAGCUAGUUGGUGGGGUAAAGGCCUACCAAGCCGACGAUCUGUAGCUGGUCUGAGAGGACGACCAGCCACACUGGGACUGAGACACGGCCCAGACUCCUACGGGAGGCAGCAGUGGGGAAUUUUGGACAAUGGGCGCAAGCCUGAUCCAGCAAUGCCGCGUGCAGGAUGAAGGCCUUCGGGUUGU
rnacentral:rRNA from 1 species